rnacentral:tRNA from 1 species
GCCGCGAUAGCUCAGACGGCAGAGCGGACGCCUCGUAAGCGUCAGGUCGCCGGAUCAUGCCCGGCUCGCGGCUC